CGCGUAGGUGGUUCUGUAAGUCGGGUGUGAAAGCCCCGGGCUCAACCUGGGAAUUGCAUUCGAUACUGCAGAGCUAGAGUAUGGUAGAGGGAAGUAGAAUUCCCGGUGUAGCGGUGAAAUGCGUAGAUAUCGGGAGGAAUACCAGUGGCGAAGGCGGCUUCCUGGACCAAUACUGACACUGAGGCGCGAAAGCGUGGGUAGCAAACA
rnacentral:rRNA from 1 species